GGUACUGCUCUUGUUGUGUAGCAAAUUGUGACUCAUGACGAGGCUGUCCUUGACCACUAGCUCAUGCUUGACACAUUUGUGUCAUUUGCUGUUUCAGUAUUCUAUUUUUCUCAAAUACAGUAGACUCUUGUUGAACCCUCUGACCCUGAGUCUCUUGAGCACUUGUAAUAGCUUCGAUGUCAGUUAUCAUUUUUCCUUGGAUCUUGUGUUUCUAGCUUACCACAAACCGACCACCUCGACUUUCUUCACAAUUCAAAACAAAACAUGUUAGAAUGGACUCAGUCGGUCCUUAUUAUUAUCAAUAUUUUUCAUUUCUUCAUUUUUUCAUUUCUUUUUCAUGGUGAUCGAACCUGAUGUGGGUUGCCUACGUAUCAUGUGGGAACAUAAAUCAGAUCUUGUGUAGUUCGGGAAGAUCAUGAAUAAAGUAAAUAAACUAACUUUAUUUUUUUGAAUUUUUAUUUAUUUUUCGAAAGAAAAACUUUUAAAGAAGAAAGGAAACAUUUUUGGAUUUUAAUUUUUCUUCAGUGUUUUUGCAAAGAAAGACUUCUAAAGAAGAAAGAUUUUUUUUGAUUUUUUUUUUUAAUUUCUAAAGAAGAAAGAAAAUAUUAUCGGAAUUUUAUUUUGAAUUGAUGAAAGAAAUGCUUCGAAAAAAAAGAAAAUAUUUUUGAAUUUUCUUUUCAAUUCUAAAAGAAGAAUGAAAAUAUUUUUGGAUUGUUGGAAGAAAUGAAAAGAAAAUAUUUUUGUAUAUAUUUUUUUAAAAAAAAUUGGGGUCUAAAAGAAAGACUUUCUAAAGAAAGUAAUGAAAAAUAUUUUUGAUUUUGUUUUUUAGAAAAAAAUUGUGGGCCGGAACCGAUGAGGUUUGCCUACGUAUCUCACAUCCGAUGAGAAUCAGACCCGCGUAGUUUGCCCUUUUUGACGGAACAGAAAUUGACUUAUUUUGAAAUGACUUUUCCUCUUUUUUUCAAAAUUUCGGCAGAGUUUCAGGAUAAUUCAAAUACCUACUUCUCACUCUUGAUUUUUUCUCUUUGAUUUUUUUUCUUCUUUCUCUUUUUUUUUUUUAUUCUCUUUUUUUCCUUUAUUUUUCAUUUUUUUCUCUAUUCUUGAAGCUAGUCAACAUGCAAGCCGAAACAGACAGAUACGCAAAUAGCACGUAAGAUGCAUCAGGAUGGUCUUUUUAAUUUGGGUACACCUGUCCUAGACGGACUCAACCCCUGUGUUGGGUCCCCAAAGUCAAAUGCACGUGAUGCAAGCAAGCGUUCCUACUAGGGAUCCAUCAUGAGGCUGUGUUAUACUAGGGUUAAAAAUUUGGGUGUAUUGUUCGAAGUUCUGGAUUUGAAUCCCCAGCAGAGUCGCCAGAGCUGUGAAACCUCCUUUUUGCACACCUGAAGGCAAAUAUAAUGGAGUUAUUCCAAUUUAAGUGACAAUCGAAACGGGAUUAUUUAAUCAAUUUCAGAGUCGCCACUUGGGAUAAUUUAUUGUGUCCCAAGUCACCAGUUCAAAUCCCGAAUCGAGGAAAGAUUGACUCUGUUUUAUAAUCUGCGAACACAGAAAUUCAGGUAAGGAAUUCUGUUAACCCGGCAGAAGGUGUUAGGCAUUCCCAGGUUCCGUGGUUCUAGCACGGUCGCUUAAACUAUCAUAAUUGGCCUACUAUCUGAUUUUAAUACAUGUUUUAUCCUAUGGUACAAUUUUAACUUAUUAAACCACUCUUAAUUAUUUUUAUGAAGAUUCAAGGUUAUUUAAAACACGCCUUGAACCACGCCACAUGAAAUGCACCCGCGGUUCGCGACACGUUCUAUUUAACGUUGUUGAGAUUCGAAUUUGGGUCACAUGAAAUGUACACCCGAGUUGGGAAUUAUGUAUCAUGACCAUGUCACGGGAACCAUACCCAUUGUCACGACAAUUUAUUUAUUAAGAAUUUGCCUAAUAAUUUUGGAAUCAGUAAUUAUUUAUUAUGAACUAAAAGAACAAAAUGGGCCAACAACGUAUAUUUAUAAGGAUUAGAUUCACUAUAACUCUUGUUGAAUUAGGCUAAAAAAAUUAUUUGGCCCAUUAUUGAGCUUAUUUAAAGCACUAUAUCCAUCUAGCUCUAAUUCUUAAAGUUUUUUAUAUUCAGCUUCAUAAACGAACUUGAACAAGAUUUCAAAACAAUAAAUUAAUAAAGAUAAUAAAUAGAAAAAUCUUUUAUGUUCCAAAAAACUAAUCUGUUCAGCAAUUUAAGCCCUAUUUCUAUUGAUGAAUAACAAACAAGAGGGAUCCAAGUUAUAGAUUUUUAAUCUAUUCAGACAAACAAAGCAGUCACUAUAAUAUUUAGCAAUAAUGACCAUAUAAAAACAAAGGACAAACUAUACUCAGAACUAUUCAAGUGAAUUAGAGAAAAUGAGUAAAAACAUGGAUAAGAUAUGAUCAAAAAUAGAGACGAGGAACUAAAAUGAAGGGAAAGAUGAAAACAGACCUUUAUUGAUAAUUUUUCUUUUCUAUUGAAUAAAGUGGAACAAAGCUCUAGAUAUGCAUGAAAUGACCCAUCUCCGGAGCGCAAACAGAACUUUGAUAGAUCGUAGCUUCGAUCGAACCGCGACUAGAACAAGAAAAACUCACUGGAAAAUCUCGUAACUCCGCGCAUUACUUGGAUCGACUCCGACGUGUAUAUAUAUAUAUUUUUUUUUACGUGAAAUUAGUGAUUGUUUUGAAUUGUAUUGAGAGUGAAAUAGGGAAGCUACAACUGCUGAAUUUGCUAGCUUUGUUGUUGUGUUAUUCCUUGAAGAAUGAGUUGUAACGCUAGAGUUCUAAGAUCCAGGUCUAUGGAGAAAAUAGCAACUGAUUUUGGAGCUUUGCCAUGAGGUGUUGUGCUGCCGCUGUGCGUGAGUAUGUAGGGUGGUGUUGGAGGGUUCCGAUUGGGUGAGGUUGCUUAGUUUUUGUCCACCAUAGAAAAUGGGUAAAACUAUCUUUAAGAAGAAGAAGAUGAAACUCUGCUUUUUUCUCCCAUUCCCAACUUUGCCUAGAUCUAUUUUCCGUCCUUUUUUUUCAGUGUGUGCAUGUGUUAUAUAGAAAGGAAAAAACGUGAAAGGAAAGAUUCUCCAGCCCUUUUCCCUUCUUC
rnacentral:lncRNA from 1 species